AUUGAACGCUGGCGGCAGGCUUAGCACAUGCAAGUCGAGCGGAGAUGAGGUGCUUGCACCUUAUCUUAGCGGCGGACGGGUGAGUAAUGCUUAGGAAUCUGCCUAUUAGUGGGGGACAACAUUCCGAAAGGGAUGCUAAUACCGCAUACGUCCUACGGGAGAAAGCAGGGGAUCUUCGGACCUUGCGCUAAUAGAUGAGCCUAAGUCGGAUUAGCUAGUUGGUGGGGUAAAGGCCUACCAAGGCGACGAUCUGUAGCGGGUCUGAGAGGAUGAUCCGCCACACUGGGACUGAGACACGGCCCAGACUCCUACGGGAGGCAGCAGUGGGGAAUAUUGGACAAUGGGGGGAACCCUGAUCCAGCCAUGCCGCGUGUGUGAAGAAGGCCUUAUGGUUGUAAAGCACUUUAAGCGAGGAGGAGGCUACUGAGACUAAUACUCUUGGAUAGUGGACGUUACUCGCAGAAUAAGCACCGGCUAACUCUGUGCCAGCCGCCGCCGUAAAAC
rnacentral:rRNA from 1 species